ACGCUGGCGGCGUGCCUAAUACAUGCAAGUCGAGCGGACCGACGGGAGCUUGCUCCCUUAGGUCAGCGGCGGACGGGUGAGUAACACGUGGGUAACCUGCCUGUAAGACUGGGAUAACUCCGGGAAACCGGGGCUAAUACCGGAUGCUUGAUUGAACCGCAUGGUUCAAUCAUAAAAGGUGGCUUUUAGCUACCACUUACAGAUGGACCCGCGGCGCAUUAGCUAGUUGGUGAGGUAACGGCUCACCAAGGCGACGAUGCGUAGCCGACCUGAGAGGGUGAUCGGCCACACUGGGACUGAGACACGGCCCAGACUCCUACGGGAGGCAGCAGUAGGGAAUCUUCCGCAAUGGACGAAAGUCUGACGGAGCAACGCCGCGUGAGUGAUGAAGGUUUUCGGAUCGUAAAACUCUGUUGUUAGGGAAGAACAAGUACCGUUCGAAUAGGGCGGUACCUUGACGGUACCUAACCAGAAAGCCACGGGUAACUACGUGCCAGCAGCCGCGGUAAUACGUAGGUGGCAAGCGUUGU
rnacentral:rRNA from 1 species